UACAGAGGGGGCAAGCGUUGUUCGGAAUUACUGGGCGUAAAGGGCGCGUAGGCGGCCUGCUAAGUCGAACGUGAAAUCCCCGGGCUCAACCCGGGAACUGCGUCCGAUACUGGCAGGCUUGAAUCCGGGAGAGGGAUGUGGAAUUCCAGGUGUAGCGGUGAAAUGCGUAGAUAUCUGGAGGAACACCGGUGGCGAAGGCGACAUCCUGGACCACUACUGACGCUGAGGAACGAAAGCUAGGGGAGCAAACAGG
rnacentral:rRNA from 1 species